UACGAAGGGGGCUAGCGUUGCUCGGAAUCACUGGGCGUAAAGCGCGUGUAGGCGGGUCUUUAAGUCAGGGGUGAAAUGCCAAGGCUCAACCUUGGAACUGCCUUUGAUACUGGAGACCUUGAGUCCGGGAGAGGUGAGUGGAAUUGCGAGUGUAGAGGUGAAAUUCGUAGAUAUUCGCAAGAACACCAGUGGCGAAGGCGGCUCACUGGCCCGGAACUGACGCUGAGACGCGAAAGCGUGGGGAGCAAACAGG
rnacentral:rRNA from 1 species